UACGUAGGGUGCGAGCGUUUGUCCGGAAUUAUUGGGCGUAAAGAGCUCGUAGGCGGUCUGUCGCGUCGAUCGUGAAAACUUGGGGCUUAACCCUGAGCUUGCGGUCGAUACGGGCAUGACUGGAGUUCGGCAGGGGAGACUGGAAUUCCUGGUGUAGCGGUGAAAUGCGCAGAUAUCAGGAGGAACACCAGUGGCGAAGGCGGUUCUCUGGGCAUUACCUGACGCUGAGGAGCGAAAGUGUGGGGAGCGAACAGG
rnacentral:rRNA from 1 species